GUAUAACUUAGUGGCAGACGGGUGAGUAAUGUAUAGGAAUCUACCUAGUAGUACGGAAUAAUUGUUGGAAACGGCAACUAAUACCGUAUACGCCCUACGGGGGAAAAAUUUAUUGCUAUUAGAUGAGCCUAUAUUAGAUUAGCUAGUUGGUGGAGUAAUAGCCUACCAAGGCAAUGAUCUAUAGCUGAUCUGAGAGGAUGAUCAGCCACACUGGAACUGAGAUACGGUCCAGACUCCUACGGGAGGCAGCAGUGGGGAAUAUUGGACAAUGGGCGAAAGCCUGAUCCAGCCAUGCCGCAUGAGUGAAGAAGGCCUUUGGGUUGUAAAGCUCUUUUAGUGAGGAAGAUAAUGACGGUACUCACAGAAGAAGUCCUGGCUAACUCCGUGCCAGCAGCCGCGGUAAUACGGAGAGGGCUAGCGUUAUUCGGAAUCAUUGGGCGUAAAGGGCGCGUAGGCGGAUUAGUAAGUUAAAAGUGAAAUCCCAAGGCUCAACCUUGGAAUUGCUUUUAAAACUGCUAGUCUAGAGAUUGAAAGAGGAUAGAGGAAUUCCUAGUGUAGAGGUGAAAUUCGUAAAUAUUAGGAGGAACACCAGUGGCGAAGGCGUCUAUCUGGUUCAAAUCUGACGCUGAGGCGCGAAGGCGUGGGGAGCAAACAGGAUUAGAUACCCUGGUAGUCCACGCUGUAAACGAUGAAUGUUAAAUAUGGGAAGUUUACUUUCUGUAUUACAGCUAACGCGUUAAACAUUCCGCCUGGGGACUACGGUCGCAAGAUUAAAACUCAAAGGAAUUGACGGGGACCCGCACAAGCGGUGGAGCAUGUGGUUUAAUUCGAUGCAACGCGAAAA
rnacentral:rRNA from 1 species